rfam:HIV-1 isolate 041 from Estonia truncated gag protein (gag) and pol protein (pol) genes, partial cds.
UUUUUUAAGAAAAAUCUGGCCUUCCUACAAAAGGAGGCCAAGGAACUUUCUU